AUUGAACGCUAACGGCGUGCUUAACACAUGCAAGUCGAGCGGCAGCACAGCAGUAGCAAUACUGUGGGUGGCGAGCGGCGGACGGGUGAGUAAUGUAUAGGAAUCUGCCUUGUAGUGGGGGAUAACCCGGGGAAACUCGGGCUAAUACCGCAUAAUCUCUACGGAGCAAAGUGGGGGACCGCAAGGCCUCACGCUAUAAGAUGAGCCUAUAUUGGAUUAGCUAGUUGGUAGGGUAAAGGCCUACCAAGGCGACGAUCCAUAGCUGGUCUGAGAGGAUGAUCAGCCACACUGGGACUGAGACACGGCCCAGACUCCUACGGGAGGCAGCAGUGGGGAAUAUUGGACAAUGGGCGAAAGCCUGAUCCAGCAACGCCGUGUGUGUGAAGAAGGCCUUAGGGUUGUAAAGCACUUUCAGUAGGGAAGAAAAGCCCAAGGGUAAUAUCCUUGAGUCUUGACGUUACCUACAGAAGAAGCACUGGCUAACUCUGUGCCAGCAGCCGCGGUAAGAC
rnacentral:rRNA from 1 species